rnacentral:rRNA from 1 species
AACGAACGCUGGCGGCAUGCCUAACACAUGCAAGUCGAACGAAGCCUUCGGGCUUAGUGGCGCACGGGUGCGUAACGCGUGGGAACCUACCAUCAGGUUCGGAAUAACAGUUAGAAAUGACUGCUAAUACCGGAUAAUGUCUUCGGACCAAAGAUUUAUCGCCUUUUGAUGGGCCCGCGUAAGAUUAGGUAGUUGGUGGGGUAAUGGCCUACCAAGGCAACGAUCUCUAGCUGGUCUGAGAGGACGAUCAGCCACACUGGGACUGAGACACGGCCCAGACUCCUACGGGAGGCAGCAGUGGGGAAUAUUGGACAAUGGGCGAAAGCCUGAUCCAGCAAUGCCGCGUGUGUGAAGAAGGCCUGAGGGUUGUAAAGCACUUUCAAUCGUGAAGAAAAGUUGCAGGCUAAUACCCUGUGACCUUGACGUUAACGAUACAAGAAGCACCGGCUAACUCCGUGCCAGCAGCCGCGGUAAUGUCAC